rnacentral:other from 1 species
GGUCUGCUGCGGCUCUCGUCGGAGACGACCAUAUCCCUCCGGCCUUAAUUCACUCGAAGGGAGCUGUCCCUGUCCGUGGCCGUGGCUGCGGGUAUACGGCGCCCACCUGGUUAGCCAGGCUCGAGGGGAUUGAAAUGAUCUUCACGGCUCUCGCGGCGCCGC